UUGAAAAUGUAAAUAUCAGGCAUGUUAAAUGUUGACUGGUCAUUUUCUAUUCCAAUACAUGAGAGAAAAAUGAUUUGGGUAACUCCCACGCGUACUUUUAUUGUUGAUAACUCCCACGCAAUAUUUUAUGUGCAAGCAAUAUCUAUGCAGGUUAUAGCCUAGAUAUUGAUUGAACAAAAUCAUGAUUGAUGCAUUUAGCCUUAAACGUUCAUAGAAUUUUGAAUAAUAUUAAAAAUACCGCCAAAAGGUCCUGGAUAGAAUUAAGCCCCUAUGGAUAGCAGAAUACAUACUCACGUAAAUAUAUUAAAUGAAGUUUCGAUAUAGAUGAAUUAAUCGCAGAAAUUAAAAUAAAAGUCUCAAAUAUAAGAAGGAGGUCGAUUUCAAAUUAAGCACAAUUACAGUUGUCAUUUUUCAUAGUUUGCAGAUAUGGACAGUUCAAGCUCGGAUAUUGUUUGUGGAUAAUGUUGGAAAACAUUUGUCUUAAUGACCACAUAAACUGGCUACUCGGCACAGGACCUUGUAAUUAAAUGUUGUGGCAAAUCGAAACGUGACAGAUCCUGGUCCUGGCUGAAAUUUAGAGUAUUACAGCUGUAGCUUGUAUACCAUAAAUUAAACAUGGAAAGGACUGUUCUUGAGAAAAUUGCUGACGUAACUGAUGGAGCAGUUUUUCUUACCAAUCAUAGAAGCAGUAGAAGUAUUCAAACACCAUCAUGAAACACUUAAGACAUACACAGAGAGCUCUAGAAGAAGUACUAGUGGUAGAUUGGAACAGAUUGUAGCUUAAUUGUUAAACUAAAAGGAUUUCUUAAAUCGUUUGAAUUUAAGCUACACUUGAACUGUAUUUUUGAAAUAAAAUAGCUGAAAUAUUUAAUAGUGUCUUGAUUUGUAGCUCACCUUGCACAUAGUGCAGGUGAGCUUUUAGGAUGGCCAAUCAAAUGCGUCCGUAGUCCGGCGUCCGUCCACAUUUUAUUCAAACGACAUCUAUAAUACCACUUGGCCAAUUUUGAUGAAACUUGGCAGGAAUACUCUUUGUAUGAAGCUCUAUCAAGAUUGUUCAAAGAAUGCCAUUCCAUGCUAAACUCUGGUUGCUAUGGCAACUAAAAGAAAAAAAACUUAAAAGUUCUUAUACUUCAAAAUGGAAAGGGCUAGAGCAUAGAUAUUUCUCACAAGGCAUAAGCUUGUUGGUGUCUACAAAGUGUAUUCAACUUAUGGUCUAGAGUUGAAAAUUGGUCUCUGUUUUGGGGGUUAAAGGGUUUUUUAUUGCAAGGUUAUAUAGACUUUCUUUGUAGGGAUAAAUUGAGAUAGUGUAUCUUGUAUUUUUUGUCUCAACAGACAUUGUUAUGAAGAUUUUUCUGUUAAAGCAUUAGAAAGAUGAAAAUUUUGUUGAAUGUGAAUGUUGAUUCUAAACAGAGUCAAUCAGAAUAACACAAAUUUGAGAGCUACAGUGAAGUUGAUUUCCCCAUUCAAUAAUGGAUUCUUUCAUUAAUUUCGUAACACCAUCAGAAAGGAGACUGUGUCAUUUCCGAAAUACAAAGUAAAAUAUUUCGGUUCUUGACAAUGACUUGCACAUUAUAUGUGUAAGAUAUUGCACAAAGAAACGAAAGUGAACAAAUAAUGUUGUUUUUUUUCACAAGAAUUAGUUGAUAAAGUUAAAAAUUUAAUUUACAGUACGGAUAUUACUUUUACUAUCCUUCCGGUUUGCGGGAAAAAUCAUAUAUUUCAACAUCGUCUACACCGGUCUUACUGAUGAACGAAUUGAGUCAUAAUAUUUCAUUCUGAGAACAAACAUACAAUUCAAAUCAUUAAAUAAUGCAUAUCAUUUUACAACUUUGCCUCAGAAGACAUCUGUAUCAAUCUGACCUCGAGUUGAGAUUAUAAACAAAACUAAACCGGAAGUAGGACAAAAUGGCGGCUUUGCCAAGAAAAAUGAGAA